rnacentral:rRNA from 1 species
UACGGAGGGUGCAAGCGUUGUUCGGAUUUAUUGGGCGUAAAGGGCGUGUAGGCGGUCUCGUAAGUCUGAUGUGAAAGCCCCGGGCUCAACCCGGGAAGUGCAUUGGAAACUGUGAGACUUGAGUACGGGAGAGGGCAGUGGAAUUCCUAGUGUAGCGGUGAAAUGCGUAGAUAUCAGGAGGAACACCGGUGGCGAAGGCGGCUACCUGGACAGAGUCUGACGCUGAGGCACGAAAGCUAGGGGAGCAAACAGG